UGGGCUGUUCAAGGAUAUUUAACUUUAACUGAAGCUUUUCAAUACUGGAUUCAUGUAUGGGUAAUAAAUGAUGACUGAGGAUUCUGCUGAGGUUGGUCUACAUUGUAAUAACUGCAGAAACUGGAGAUUUUUAAAAUCAUAUCCUGACAUGUACAACAACUCAAAAAGAAGAAUAUUUGCAUCAAGGUUUGCUUUUCUGCCUCAAUAUUUACAAUACAAGGGUUUAAUUUAAUUCCGUUGAUACAAUUAAUUUAUCUGAUGUCAGUCUUGUGCCAACAAUGAAUUUAUUUUCAUGCUCUGUCUUUAAAAUGAAUUGUCAUUGUUUUCCAUAGGACAGUGAUUACAAAUCGACACUAAGCAGUAAAAAAUGCUCCACUGCGCGCAGCUCCUUUGUAUUGCCAGAGGAUGGUGCUGUAGACCUGCUAGAAGAGGAGAUGGAGCGGAGUGUCUAUGGGCUGCGCUUCUCCCUGGACCCUUCAUCUGUCCCACCACCUCUCCGUCUGUCCAACACCCUCCUCACAGUGACCUACAGUGACAGUGGUUCUUCAGACCUACAUCCUAGGAUCAGAAAACCUGCGUUGACCCCUGACUCCACGGUGCUUCUUCCUCAUGUGAGCGCUGAUGUCAUCAUUGCUCGGGGGCAAUACUACUGGGAGGUGGAUGUCUGUAACAGCUCCGUCUACAGGGUUGGUAAGAACUCUGUUGGUUGUGGUUGAACUGGGUUGAUGCCAGUUGAUUCAUUCCUUCCAGAAGCCCUCACCCUUACUCAGCAAGACUGCGCUUGUUUAUACCUACACCCACAAUAAAGUGCACAAAGACAGUGAACACACACAUGGGCUCGUUCUGAUUCACCUUCAUUGGUCGUGGGAAUAAAGGUGUUGGAAGCAUUGACCAAUUAUGGAUCAUUAUUUAAGCAUUGGUAGCAAUACUCACUACAGUAAUCCAGGAAAACUUCCAGUAUCCUUAGUUCCUUCAUGUAACCCCAGACUGACUCCAGGAUGUUGACAUCAGGGCCCUGUACCAUCUGUUGCACGACUCUUUGUUUUUCUUUUUCCUUGCAUGUUUGGGUUUAUUGUCAUGCAACAGAGGGAAUUUUGGACAAAUCAGAUGCCUCCCCGUUGGUAUUACGCAACAAACACAAAUCUAAACACAGAAUGUGGACAAAAAUGUUGAUAACCUAAGAGGCUUUCUUCUGUGAAUGAUUCACUGAAGUACAAAUGCUGCACUUCAGAUAGUCUCUAGGAUUCAAAGUGUAAUAUUUUACAGUCCAUAUUCCUGACCUGAGUAACUGCAGUGCACCAUCUCUAAGUACGUAAGAGCAAGGAGUUCGAUUGGUAGGAUAAAAUUUUAAAAACAGGAUACAGAAAAAAAUAUCCUAAUUAUUUUCCUCAUCCUUUCAGUGUUGUCUAGGCUCCUGCAAUGGCUGGAAAAGUUACAAAGACGAUCAACAUUGGUUUGUAAAGACUUCUACUCUGCUAGAAGAUGAUUACAGUGACAUGGUCAGCAAUAAAGAAGAGAUAAACAGUGGUCAGCUUUCUGAUGGAGAUGUAGUUUGUGAAACACCGGACCUACAUAAUGUUAGCUUAUGAUGUGAAUUUUACUUUUUAUUUGAAUUAAAAAUAAUAAUAAAGUUCAUGCAUGGCUAUUGGUUUACAUCUUUUGACUACAUUACCUAAAUCCAAAAGGUUGCACAUUUAAAAUUAUAAUUUGUAAUGUGCAUAUAUUUAUUUGUAUAGCAGAAUAAUCAGCUGAUCUUAGUCUUUGUCAUCAUGUUUGGACCAGCAAUGAAUUUCAACAUGACAACAUGAAAUAUCUGGGUUUAUUUGAGUCUCUCUGGACCAGAACCUCAAGGUUCUCCAAUGCUGAGUGUUGGUACAAACAUCAGCGGAGAGUUGACCACAGCUGCUGCCCGCUCACGUCCCGCCCACCAUAGUGAGGAACAGACCAUAUAAUGGAAAAGCUCACCACCUGGGGUAAAACCGAACCGCACAUUAACCGGUUGGUGCACGACUUGCCAGUGGAAAAGCACCUCAAAUUACACUUAUUACCGAUCAUUAGCAAAUGGGUCGGCCUUCUUAAAAGCAGGUGCUCUGGAGCAUAAACAUUCGUGCUAACCAAGCUAUACUUAAAGACGUCAGCGAUGAACGUAGAGAAGCAAACCCAUUAAACUCUGAUGGGUUCUGAGGUCAUUUUUAAGCUAUUCGAAGCCCAUCACCCGACGUGGAGAAAGUUAUCUUGAGUCAGAAGGUGUAUUGUCUGUCCAACAUCUGAAGCUUUGCCAAUCCUGGGUCAUGAAACGUGACCUUAAUCUCAAAAGCAGUAACUGAGAAAACAAGACCACAAAAUGUCAAUCUAAUGUUCAUCGAGUGAUUUGGUCGCUUCUUCACUUUAUUGGAAAAUUCCUCAGAUCUAAGUGAACACCAGGGUUAAGUAGGCUGACUAUGACAUACACAAUGACUGUGUAGUAAUAAAAUCCUUUUAACAAAAUGUACUUUAUUCAAGUCGUCUUAUUCAUCUGAUUGUAAAUUGUAAAAUGUUAAACACUGCAUUGGCUGCAGGAACAUCUCUUUAACUUCACUCUGUAAUCUUUGUAUGUUUGUCUUCCUAGGUUUAAUCUCAUCAGAUGGAUGUAGCGGCUGGUGGCUGGAGAGAAAUGUCUCGGCUUUUCAUGCAGUGUACGAUGGAAGCUGUGAGCCUAUCGGCACUGUCCCACCCAGGAUCAAAACCCUCGGGAUAUUCCUCAGUUUUGAAGGCGGGAUUCUGAGUUUCCACAACCCACUGACCCAGGAGCAUCUUGUCACACUGCCGACCCGCUUCAGCCCUUCCGGGGUACUCCCGGCUCUGGGUCUAGGACAAGGCAAGCUGAGGCUACACUGCGGCCUUCCAACACCUCCUUAUGUAUUUCUGGGUAAGGACUCGACUUUUAGGGGUCCUUGUGGUCCAAAUAGUGUUUGGACCACAAGAGAGGCUCCAUUCCAGUCAGUGAAAACAGUGAUCCAGAAGUUUGAGAAGCUGGCAUUAUCAAACUAAAAGUUUCUUUAUUUUUGGAUCAUCCUGUGGAGUCUGUUGAAGGACUUGAAGAAUAAGAAGAGCUUCUAAAAGCUUCUGUUCACAGGGAACACCCACAGCUUCUCUGGCUGGUUUGAUGUUUAACUGCCAUUUGAAAGGCUAAUUUUCCAUCUUGGCGUACUAUGGCUGCCCUUUUUCAUUCUCUACUUGAACCCGGACCUGCAAUUGACUCUCUCCCUGGGAUCCAGCCCUUUCUCUCAGCUGAACCACCCCCACUGAUUUGGGCUUGGGCCAGAAAGAGUCCUGGGUUAUAUGAAGUGUGAGGAAAGGGUGGGAUUUUACCAGCAGGAUUCCUUGAUUUGUCUCUGUGUGCCGGCUGUUGGACAGUAGGUGUCCCACACUAUGGAAACACACGUUGUGUAUAGCGCUGCUUUAAAGGUUUGCCCAGCCACUCGUGCAUUUUGGUGUGUGUUUGCACAGGAGGAAACAAUGCAUGAGCGGCAGGGGGUGAGGUGAUGAGGCGUGAGUACAGUGACACCAGUGGUGUUGACAUGGAGCAGCAAUGACAGGUGGUAACAUACAUUUAUCCCACCGCCUGUCUUCGAGGGAACAGUAGGGCUGUCCUUUUUGACCUUUUUGAAAACCACAGGACACCCAACGACUUCAAACGAGCCAAGAGAAAGCCAGAGAACAGAGAGGGAAAAAGAGUAACAGCAUGCAUGUCAGCAGGUGAUGAAUUGAUAUAAAAAAAUAAGCCGAGAGAGGCAUUCCAAACGGCCUCCAUGCCAAAUACAUAGGAAAGAUGUAGCAGCAGAAACUUUGCUUCAAGGAUGCAAUGUUUAAGAUGCAGCGAAAAAUAAUUAUGACAUGCUUACUUUUAUAAAUAAUCUCUGAAUGGUUAUGUGUGCUCAUUUUAUCAGUAAGUAGAUUGAACACAAAAGGUCACAGUAGAAAAGCUGUGCAACUGUGUUCAAUUUCUUAGCAUGUUAAGUUUGUAUAAAAGAUUAGUGGAAACUGAUACUUGAUUCUAUCUGUUUGGGGCCAUAAAACAGUUCUUUUUUGUCUGUAUUCAGUGGUAAAAGUUUCUGGCUCAAAAUUGUGAAUGUUUGGGGGGAUGUAAUGCUGGACUGUGGUAAAGUCAUGAGAAAAAUGUUGUUAUAGAUGUCGUAAGGAUCCGUAUCUGGAGCUAAACAGAGCAUGUAAUUUAGAUGUUAAAUGAAGAAAAUAUAAAGAAGUAACCCUGAAGGACUUCCUUCUGUGACGUGAUGUAUGUGAGUGUAUGUGUUUUUAUCAUUUGUUUGUGCCAAACUCUAUAAAACCGUUUUCUAAAAGGCAUAAUAAUAAAUAAAAAAGACGUAAGAUAAAAAAAAUAAGUGUUUGCAAACCCCCUUUAAAGUGACAGACGUAAUUCAACGGAGGUUCACCUAAGUAGUGCUUGUUGUCUCUCUAUGAGCAGAAUGGAGAUCACCUGAGUGCAGUGACUGUGUUUCAAUUGCUUGUAGCAUAGAGACUCUUGUGUCUGGAAGAUCCAGGAUUAGUCAGAAUUUAUUUUUCUCAAAAUGGACUUGGAGUUUUUCUUUUCAUCGUCUACAUUCUGUUCCUGUGUUCUGUUGUUUUAUAUUUUCUUUUCUGGUGUUUAAAUUGUAGCUUUCUUUGCAUAGUGCUUUCAUUUUUCCGAAGAAAACAUUCUGUUAAUAGCAUCUGUGAUUGUCUCAGUGUUAAUCCUUCUGGCACCAGAGACUACAAAUUAGAAAGAACACAGCACGAACACAGCACCACUUGUUAGCAUUACAACAGUCAUUUGUCUGCACAAUAAGACCAAAACCAAUCAGUUUAACAUUAUGAGGUUUGGUGGAGGAUCAGAGUGUGGCCAAAAGAACAGAAUGAACUUUACAACUGAAUGGGAUCUCUUUUUUUUAAAUGGUGAAACAAGGCAUUGCCCAUUGAAAAUAAAACUAAAUAAAUGUUUUUUUCCAGAAAUCACUUCCAGACCCCAGAAAAAUGUGGUAUUUCUAAUCCAGGAGAAAAAAAAGCAGAUUGACUUGAAAAUAUUAUGUUUUACUGGAUGACAGCCUUUCUUUUAGAGAUUAGUAAAGUAUUUAAUGAAAAGCCAAAAGGUUAGAUUAGGCUUUUUCUUUUGACUUAUGAUCAUUUUUUUUAUUUUUCAGACAUUCAAGUUUUAUUGUUCUUGAAUAUGUUGUUAGUUUUUCAUGUCUUACAAGCUGCCACCUCAGCUCUUUGAUUUUUAUGUUAUGUGUAUAAUCAUUGUUCAUGUUAUGGCAAAUUUAUUAUGCAGAACUCAACCACUGCAUCCUUUAUGACCUGAUUUAUGAAACAGCAGUGGUAGGCUUCUGGGAGCUUUCAUAAGGACUCCUUUAGUUUGUGCAAUCCUAUUAACUUCCAACUCUAGAGAUAAUUUGUGAUCUGUGAGUUAGUUUCUUGUCACAGCAACCAGAUUUUUUUUCUUAACUUUAUAGAAGUGCAUUCUUUCAUUUUGCACCUUGAUCAUGGACUGAAUAAAAAAGGUUGAGACGAUGAAA